GAUUAAGUUAUUAAGGGCGCACGGUGGAUGCCUUGGCACUAGAAGCCGAUGAAGGACGUUACUAACGACGAUAUGCUUUGGGUAGCUGUAAGUAAGCGUUGAUCCAGAGAUUUCCGAAUGGGGAACCCAGCAUGAGUUAUGUCAUGUUAUCGACAUGUGAAUUCAUAGCAUGUCAGAAGGCAGACCCGGAGAACUGAAACAUCUUAGUACCCGGAGGAAGAGAAAGAAAAUCGAUUCCCUGAGUAGCGGCGAGCGAAACGGGAAGAGCCCAAACCAACAAGCUUGCUUGUUGGGGUUGUAGGACACUCUAUACGGAGUUACAAAAGAACAUGUUAGACGAAUCAUCUGGAAAGAUGAAUCAAAGAAGGUAAUAAUCCUGUAGUCGAAAACAUAUUCUCUCUUGAGUGGAUCCUGAGUACGACGGAGCACGUGAAAUUCCGUCGGAAUCUGGGAGGACCAUCUCUAAGGCUAAAAUAGUAUGUUAAGUGGAAAAGUACCGUGGCGUUGCCCAGACAACUAGGAUGUUGGCUUAGAAGCAGCCAUCAUUUAAAGAGUGCGUAAUAGCUCACUAGUCGAGGACACUGCGCCGAAAAUGUACCGGGGCUAAACAUAUUACCGAAGCUGUGGAUUGUCCUUUGGACAAUGGUAGGAGAGCGUUCUAGGGCGUCGAAGCACGAUCGCAAGGACAUGUGGAGCGCUUAGAAGUGAGAAUGCCGGUGUGAGUAGCGAAAGACGGGUGAGAAUCCGUCCACCGAUUGACUAAGGUUUCCAGAGGAAGGCUCGUCCGCUCUGGGUUAGUCGGGUCCUAAGCUGAGGCCGACAGGCGUAGGCGAUGGAUAACAGGUUGAUAUUCCUGUACCACCUAGUAUCGUUUUAAUCGAUGGGGGACGCAGUAGGAUAGGCGAAGCGUGCUGUUGGAGUGCACGUCCAAGCAGUAAGGCUGAGUGUUAGGCAAAUCCGGCACUCAUAAGGCUGAGCUGUGAUGGGGAGAGGAAAUUGUUUCCUCGAGUCGUUGAUUUCACACUGCCGAGAAAAGCCUCUAGAUAGAUAACAGGUGCCCGUACCGCAAACCGACACAGGUAGUCAAGAUGAGAAUUCUAAGGUGAGCGAGCGAACUCUCGUUAAGGAACUCGGCAAAAUGACCCCGUAACUUCGGGAGAAGGGGUGCUCUUUAGGGUUCACGCCCAGAAGAGCCGCAGUGAAUAGCCCAAGCGACUGUUUAUCAAAAACACAGGUCUCUGCUAAACCGUAAGGUGAUGUAUAGGGCUGACGCCUGCCCGGUGCUGGAAGGUUAAGAGGAGUGGUUAGCUUCUGCGAAGCUACGAAUCGAAGCCCCAGUAAACGGCGGCCGUAACUAUAACGGUCCUAAGGUAGCGAAAUUCCUUGUCGGGUAAGUUCCGACCCGCACGAAAGGCGUAACGAUUUGGGCACUGUCUCAACGAGAGACUCGGUGAAAUCAUAGUACCUGUGAAGAUGCAGGUUACCCGCGACAGGACGGAAAGACCCCGUGGAGCUUUACUGUAGCCUGAUAUUGAAAUUCGGCACAGCUUGUACAGGAUAGGUAGGAGCCUUUGAAACGUGAGCGCUAGCUUACGUGGAGGCGUUGGUGGGAUACUACCCUAGCUGUGUUGGCUUUCUAACCCGCACCACUUAUCGUGGUGGGAGACAGUGUCAGGCGGGCAGUUUGACUGGGGCGGUCGCCUCCUAAAAGGUAACGGAGGCGCUCAAAGGUUCCCUCAGAAUGGUUGGAAAUCAUUCAUAGAGUGUAAAGGCAUAAGGGAGCUUGACUGCGAGACCUACAAGUCGAGCAGGGUCGAAAGACGGACUUAGCGAUCCGGUGGUUCCGCAUGGAAGGGCCAUCGCUCAACGGAUAAAAGCUACCCGGGGAUAACAGGCUUAUCUCCCAAGAGUUCACAUCGACGGGGAGGUUUGGCACCUCGAUGUCGGCUCAUCGCAUCCUGGGGCUGUAGUCGGUCCCAAGGGUUGGGCUGUUCGCCCAUUAAAGCGGUACGCGAGCUGGGUUCAGAACGUCGUGAGACAGUUCGGUCCCUAUCCGUCGUGGGCGUAGGAAAUUUGAGAGGAGCUGUCCUUAGUACGAGAGGACCGGGAUGGACAUACCUCUGGUGUACCAGUUGUCGUGCCAACGGCAUAGCUGGGUAGCUAUGUAUGGACGGGAUAAGUGCUGAAAGCAUCUAAGCAUGAAGCCCCCUCAAGAUGAGAUUUCCCAACUUCGGUUAUAAGAUCCUCGAAGAUGACGAGGUUAAUAGGUUCGAGGUGGAAGCGUGGUGACACGUGGAGCUGACGAAUACUAAUCGAUCGAAGACUUAAUCAA
rnacentral:rRNA from 1 species